rnacentral:lncRNA from 1 species
UGACUAAUAGGUGAUGCUUCAAAGGUCUAUACUCAACAUCCUUCAUUAGAAUGGCUUUGUGAUUCAGGGAGAAAAAUAGGAAGGAAUUGGGAAGUGAUGAGAAAAAUAGAUAACAUCUUUUUUAUCUAAGAGGUAACUGCAUCUGAAUAAGUUAUUUAAUUCAAUAUAUUUUAUUCCCAUUUCACUUUAUAGUACUCUGAGGCACCUAAAAAUUCACAUAAUGACUCCUCCAGGCAAGGUUACUCCAAGGUCAAUGUAAUUUUGAGACAGUAGCCACUUAAAGCUUUAGUUCAUGUGGCCCCUAUUGAU